rnacentral:lncRNA from 1 species
GAUUUUUUUGCACCAGAAAAGGUUACUUACCUGGAGCACACCGGAGAUCCACAUAGGCCGGCUACCUCAAGGCUGGAGCCAUGACAGCUGUCAGCCACUACUUUGAGGCUGCCUGGCCACUUCCGGUGCCGCUGUGCUCACUGGGAGGAAGAGGCGGGUCCUAGAUGGCUGGCGCUUGCGCAGUCGGCUGGUGGAGAGCAAGACCCUGUAUCCGGCGGUGUUGGCGUGUUGUCCGCUGCCGGAGUUAUCCGCUGAUGGCAGCGUUGUCGGUGGCGGUGCUGGCCCGGAGAGUGCGGGAAUGAAGACAUCUUCAUGGAUAUGAAACUGGACACACGAGUUGACGCUGAAGUUCAUCUGCUGGGUUCGGAGGCAGCACGGGUGGGCAGCGGCUCAGCCAUGAGGAAGCCAAGAAGCGGAUGUCUGCCUCCCCUCCUCCCCCGCAGAGGGCACGGAUGUGAAACUAACGCAGGGUGGGCGCUGAAGCUCAGCUGCUGGAUAAUCUUCCAGUUCCGGAGACUGCACGGCUUCUGCUCAACCCCAGCUGGGCCUUCAUCCUGGAGAGGAGCAGUGCCAUCGGACACAUUGCUGGGGAAAGCAGACAUGAGCCUCCUUCAGCACCGGACACAGCCUAGGAUCCUGCUGGGCUCAGGACCUCCCCUCCCAUCUCGAGUCCCACGAGGAAUGUUUGUUCCCGUUCUCUGCUGGGGCAGAUGCUAUGGUGGGGCCUCCUCCUUGACGAAGCUGUGGGACUCAGAGCCAGGCUCUGUGUGGCCCGACGAUCCUGCUGACCCCGGCCUCCUGCAGACCAUGGCCGCCAUACCCCUGGCCGCGUCUCCAGCUUUUCAAGUGGGAAGAAACCACCCCGCUACCCAGGACCUGACUUCUGUGGGCCAUCCUCAGUAAGCCCCUAAAAUGUGCACGUUCCACGUGAGGAAGCUGAGGAACAUUCAUGUUGAGUCACCCUCACUGCUAGGAGGAGAUGGAGUCGCGACUGCAGCUCGGGCUUUCCUGCUUUGUAAUCCCGACGCCUCCACCACUGCUGAAUGGAAGUAGUUACUUCUGGAUUGG